AUGCUGGUCAGAGGGGCCACAUGGCCGCUGUGCCACAGAUGCCAAGGGCAGCCACAGACAACACCGACGUGUCACUGCCUGGCAGCGCUGCAACAAAGGCUUAGUCACAGAAGCAGGCACAGUGCGGCAGCCCUCGGCGGACUGCUCAUUGCCCGUGUGCAGCGGGCUGUUCCGGGGUCGCUUGACGGGCCACAUCUAACUAACAAAAUACUGUGCCACACUCCACCUGACAGGCUUCACCUUCUACCUCUGAGCCGACUGGUCCCCAUUUUACAAGAACAAGGAGAUGCACAGACCUGGAGUAUUUGCUGGCAGAAGACACAGGUCUACCCUACGAAAGUAGCCAAAACUCCCAUCUUCAGAGAACACCUGCACCCUAACUCCAUCCCCCCGCCAUGCCAGACGUAUGUCCCUCUGAUCCACUUGUCCGCUUUCCCUCUUCAGUACCUAGCUCGGAGUCCAGCAGUGCUAACAACAACAUGAACUCCAUCGUUCCACCUGCCAGGUCCUGGACCAAAAAACGCCUUCUGAGGAAAGUGCUUAUUGGCUCCUCAAAUCAACCUGUUACUCCUACACACUGGGUAAAGUUUACAUGAAUCAAUAAAUAUUCCAAUCGCAUGUUUGUAAAUCCUACUUUAAAUGGAAGAAGGGCUUUGCACUUGCGAGACCCUCCUCACAUAGUUAUCCCAAGGAGCUCACAGGGCACGCGGGCCUCUGGAUCCCACCAGAACAGAGGUGUGAAGGAGACGGAUACAAAGUGGAACUCAGGUCUCUCUUAGCAAAAUGGUUCAUUUGUG
rnacentral:lncRNA from 1 species